GACAGAGGGGGGCAAGCGUUGCUCGGAAUCACUGGGCGUAAAGGGCGCGUAGGCGGGAUGGCAAGUCAGUCGUGAAAUCUCUCGGCUCAACCGAGAAACGUCGGCUGAUACUGCCGUUCUUGAGGGAUGCAGAGGAGACUGGAAUUCCCGGUGUAGCGGUGAAAUGUGUAGAGAUCGGGAGGAACACCGGUGGCGAAGGCGACUUACUGGACGAUUGUUGAUGCUGAGGUGCGAAAGCGUGGGGAGCAAACAGG
rnacentral:rRNA from 1 species